rnacentral:misc_RNA from 1 species
GAAAUCGCCGGCCUAGCCGGUAUAAACUUCUAUCCACCCUUGUGUGCAAACAAUGGAAAAAGAGAGAAAAUUGGAUACUUUUUUUGUAUCCAACCUCUCUAAAAUUUUUUAUAAACUCCAUCAAAUUUUGAAUAAAACGAUUUUUUUUAAAUAAAAAAUAUUAUA